CACCCUUUGAAUUCUAUUCUGUUUAUUCCAUUUUGUUCAUGGAUAUUAUACCACACAAAAGCCUAGCUGCCUAGGUGAAGCCGUCUUAUUUUUAGGGCCUGUUUGCCAUAUGGCUCUAUACAUAUGUAUAUUUUUCUCACCCUUUAAUUUGAAGCUUAAGUCAAGCUAAAAUUAUGACUUACCAGCAAUUCCAAAUAAGAGCUUUAUUAAAU
rnacentral:lncRNA from 1 species